CAACAACUCAACAUACUUCACAUAUCCAAACAACUCAAAAUACUCUCAAUGGAACCCAUAAACUCACUCUAAUCUUUACUCAUAACUAUUCACAAACAUUCUCAACAUUUAUCAGAUAUUUUCACUACCUAAACGUACCAUAAAUGGUGA